rnacentral:lncRNA from 1 species
GGUCAGUUGACUGUCUGUUCCUGUUGUAGAAGGAGAAAUGUUUGUCAGCAGCUGUGAUCUGAGACUCUGAUCCUGCAGUGAGAGAGUGGACUGAGCUCAGCAGCAGCUGACUGCUGUGUGUGGACAUGAGGAGGAGUGUGAAUGUUGUGUGUGAUGAAGAUCCACAACAACAGAACAGCUCAAUGAUCAGGACUCAGUAAUGUGGAACUGCUCAAUGAUCAAUACAUCUGAUUGGUUCCUCCUCAUUGAUUCUGCUGCUUUCUCUCUUUAUUCAGGUUGGAGGACUGCAGCUUGUCAGAAAUCAGCUGUUCUUCUCCGGCCUCAGCUCUGAAGUCCAACCCCUCCCACCUGAAGGAGCUGGACCUGAGGUUCAACCAGCUGCGUUCUCCAGAUGUGCAGCAGCUGGUUGCUCUCCAGCAGAGUCCAGACUGCAGCCUGCAGACUCUGAGGUGGGAGAGGAGCUUCUUCCAGCACUGAGUGACAGAGGAAGCAGCAGAAGAGCUGCUGAGUGUCAGUGGUGCAGUGUGAAGAGCUGUGAGAGUCCAGCAUGGAACCAUGGAGCAUCAGUAGAUCUUCAGCGUUCAGCCCUGCUGCUCUCCCUCAUUUCACCAUCCUGAAGGAGAUUUAUCCAAAGAACCACUCAGAAAACGUUUUCAGAUCAACAACAUCUGCUGCUUCUGUGAGACUGGUGUAGAAACAACUGUCCAGAUGUUCUCCUCAUGCUCUCAGAUACAAUCUGCUUUGAUUUUCAAAGUGAUUCCAGACUAAAUCUCUUCAUUUCUGAGUCAUGUGACAGAAAACAGGAGAACUUUUGGACUGACUGCAGAAGAAAAAGGAUGAAUUGUUCAGUCAUGUAAUUCUCUGCUCGGUGAAGUUUUUCAUUCCUCUGAAUCACAUUUUAAAGUCAGUCCUCAACUUUCAAUGAUUUCUAUUUGUUUUGCAGCUCAGUAAAAAUGAUCAAACUACUGAGACACAGAUCUUAGACACAAUCUUUGAAACAGUCCAGAUUCAUUUGUCCUCUUUGUUCAUAAAAACUCUGUUUUGAUCAAUAUUUAGUGAAGCUGGUUUCUUGUUUCUUCUGUUUUCUUCUCAUCUUCUCUGAAGCUUAAACUCCUGAUUGAAGUGUUGAUGUCAGCUGAUAGUCAGAGAACUCUUUUCCUGUCUGAGAGCUUUGUUUCAUUGGUUUA